GACGAACGCUGGCGGCGCGCUUAACACAUGCAAGUCGAACGGAAAGGCCUGCUUUCCCUUGUGGAUUGCGGGUACUCGAGUGGCGAACGGGUGAGUAACACGUGAGUGAUCUGCCCCCAACUUGGGUAUAAGCCUGGGAAACUGGGUCUAAUUCCCGAUAGGACUGCAGGGUGGUGCCUGUGGUGGAAAACGAUUUUCUAGUGGUUGGGGAUGAGCUCGCGGCCUAUCAGCUUGUUGGUGGGGUAAUGGCCUACCAAGGCGGCGACGGGUAGCCGGCCUGAGAGGGUGGACGGCCACAUUGGGACUGAGAUACGGCCCUGACUCCUACGGGAGGCAGCAGUGGGGAAUAUUGCACAAUGGGCGGAAGCCUGAUGCAGCGACGCCGCGUGGGGGAUGACGGCCUUCGGGUUGUAAACUCCUUUCGACCGCGAGGAAGCCACCUGGUUGGAAGGGUGGUGACGGUAGUGGUAGAAGAAGCACCGGCUAACUACGU
rnacentral:rRNA from 1 species